GGGUGUGGUGUGCUGGGUUCCUGUAUUUCAACAUCAGCUGUUGCUUCCCCGGGCAGAGAGGACAGAUGCGUUUCCUGCAUUCCCUAUCGGGUGCUCACAGUCUCACAUUGCCGGCGACUGUCACACUGCACUGCUGCCACAGCAUCAAACGCUCUUAAGUCAGGCAAGCUUUGUGGGAGAGGCACAGCGAUGGAGAACUUGAAUGUCCCAUUCCCAGAUCUUACUGAAGAACAGCAAGACAUUUUCCAGAGGGUUUUCCCUGCUGAUGCCGAUUACCUGGAGAAUCAUGAGAAAACGAACCGGUCCUUCUGGGAAUCACUUAUAAAAUGUUUAGCCACCACUGACCCACCUAUCCUGACGACUGAAGAAAAGAACAAUCUCCUCAACAGCUGCAGUGCCCUGCCUGGAGGCUGCGCAGCCUGCCUGAAAGCCAUAGAGAAGAAAGGAGUCAGGGCAAUGGCUGUGCUUUACCUCUUGCUGAAGACAACCAACCCAGCUGGAUACAGGCAGCUGCCCAGCUCCAAGGGAAAGGAUGAAAAAUUGAAACUCCUGAAGAGAUUGGAAAGGAAUCUCAUGCUUUCCCAAGGGGAAGAAGAGGAUGAAAAUUCAUCCCAUGAGUCCAUGGAUGAAGAUACACAAGGUAAAGAGGAUUUAUUUUAUUUUUCCCUGACACAUAACUUAGUCUGAUUGCAUGUUCUUAAGAGAUUCACAUAGGAGUCUUGCAGCAAUUCAGUA
rnacentral:lncRNA from 1 species